rnacentral:rRNA from 1 species
ACGAACGCUGGCGGCGUGCCUAACACAUGCAAGUCGAGCGGAGAAUGCGGACAUGUUUACAUGGAAGUAUUCUUAGCGGCGGACGGGUGAGUAACACGUGGGUAACCUGCCUCAAAGAGGGGGAUAGCCUUCCGAAAGGAAGAUUAAUACCGCAUAAGCCUGCAGUACCGCAUGGUACAGCAGGAAAAGGAGCAAUCCGCUUUGAGAUGGACCCGCGGCGCAUUAGCUAGUUGGUGAGGUAACGGCUCACCAAGGCGACGAUGCGUAGCCGACCUGAGAGGGUGAUCGGCCACAUUGGAACUGAGACACGGUCCAGACUCCUACGGGAGGCAGCAGUGGGGAAUAUUGCACAAUGGGCGAAAGCCUGAUGCCAGCAACGCCGCGUGAAUGAUGAAGGCCUUCGGGUCGUAAAGUUCUUUGAUCAGGGAUGAUAAUGACAGUACCUGAAAACAAGCCACGGCUAACUACGUGCCAGCCGCAGC